GACGAACGCUGGCGGCGUGCCUAACACAUGCAAGUCGAACGGAGCCCUAGAAAGAUUUCCUUCGGGACUGAUUUUUAGACGCUUAGUGGCGAACGGGUGAGUAUCGCGUGAGUAACCUGCCUUUCAGUAUGGGAUAACACUUGGAAACAGGUGCUAAUACCGUAUGUAGUAUAUACCUCGCAUGGGGAAUAUAUAAAAGAUUUAUCGCUGAAAGAUGGACUCGCGUCCAAUUAGAUAGUUGGUGAGGUAAUGGCUCACCAAGUCGAUGAUUGGUAGCCGGACUGAGAGGUUGAACGGCCACAUUGGGACUGAGACACGGCCCAGACUCCUACGGGAGGCAGCAGUGGGGGAUCUUGCACAAUGGAGGAAACUCUGAUGCGGCGACGUCGCGUGAAGGAAGAAGGUCUUAGGAUUGUAAACUUCUGUCAAUGGCGAAAUAAUGAUUAGCCAUAGAGGAAGCCACGGCUAACUACGUGCCAGCAGCCGCAGUAA
rnacentral:rRNA from 1 species